AUGAAUAUAGUACCGACGGCUGCGGAGAUUUUGAGUAGAGACCGUCUAUUUCUCAAAGGUGAGAUGAAAAAGAUCUCUGAGAAAUGGGAAGAAAGGACAGAAGGACCAGGCACUAUAUGGCCCAUGGGAGGGACUUUUGAUCCAAUAAUGUAUCUGGACAUGGAGGUAGUGAUAAGGAAUUACAUAGAUAACAGAAGUGGAAAAGCGGCCUUGGCGAAGAGGGACAGGGAAAAGUUAGUACUAGCUUUGUUCCUAGAGGAAGGAAAGAGAUGGCGAACAUUACAGAGAGUGGCGGGAGAAAUAAUAGCUAAGAACAACAAGGCUCAACCAUUGCCUCUGACGGUUGAGCCACCGCUGUACAAACCAGUGUCAGUCUAUCCAUUGUUAAAAGGCAUGGUAGCAAUUAAAGGGGAGGUCACGCUAGAUGAGGAUAAGCAAUGUAACACACAGGGAAGGAGGGGCGCACCCAUACACAUGGACUGUUAUGAGGGUAUUAGAAAUGCAGGAGAAGAGUGUGACGAUGCUAAAACUAGAUCUAGCGAAAGUGAGGUCGAAGAUGAGGAUAGUGAUAAUAGGCAUGUGGACGAAGAGAUUUUGGUGAAGUCCAUUAGUAAAAAAGCGGGGAGGAAAUUAAGAAAUCGGAACAAGAAACAGGGAGAGAGUUCCCGUGUGGAUCAAGGGCCAGAGGAACCUUGCUGUAGUACAGCAUUACAAAGCCCCCUGGCACUCGAAACACAGGGGAAACCAAGGAGAUCACAUAGAGAAAGAAGAGCACCCGACACGUCAUCAGGAAAUUAUCCUAUUCUAAUCAAUGGACAGCAGGCAUUCUCUCCCCCGAUAGAAAAGCCUCAGAGCCAACAGUCAACUAAUCCACCAGUUACACAUGUUCACAUCCAUAAUUAUGGGAACCCCACAAAUACAAAUAGACAAAAUCAGAAUGAGGGGCCCCAAGGUCAGUUUAGAAACAAUCGACAACAAGGAUUCAAAGGACAAUGCAGAGGUCCUUUAAUAUGUUAUGGGUGUAACCAGGAAGGACAUAUUAAGAGAAAUUGUUCAAUGAACCCUUUCCCACCCCAGCAAGGACAGGGUAACGGCUAUCAGGGAAGGCAAGAACAAGGAGGUAGCUCCCAGCCAGGUCCUAUUAUGGGACAGGAAUACUAG
rnacentral:lncRNA from 1 species